rnacentral:lncRNA from 1 species
AAAAAAACAUAAUAAAAGUUAGAAAUUAUAUUAAUAAUAUUUUAAUUAUCGUAUAAAAAUUAAUAAAAUUUUAAAAUUCAAUAUGGUUAAAGCAUUUUGUCGAAACGACACUUGAUUUAUAUUCAUUAAAUAUUUUCUAACAUACGUUGCAAGAUAUAAAGUAGUUUUCAAAGAUAUAUUUGGAUCAUUAUCGACUAAAAUAACAGUAAUUAUAGUGAUCAUGGUCCAAAGAUUGGAAGAAAAAUGUUAUUAGAUUCGACAUAAUUCAUGUUGUGUAACAAGUGUUGUAACUGUUUAGUUACUACGUCGGAAAUCAGAUUUUUAACUAUUCUUUAACUGUUAAAAUAUAAUAGUUAAUUCAAUUCCUCCCUAAAUUCUUUUAAACAUCACGUCAUAACUCAACUGGAAACUCCUCUAUUCUCACGCAUUGAUGUAUAUCAUCUGCACGCGUGAUGUCAUACCACUUCCGCAGUUAUUCCAUAACAUUUUACUGCCAGCCACGCGUUACGUCAUAAUCCCUCAGGCACAUCUCUGUUUUCAUAUCUCUAUCGAGAAAUGUUAUUACUGACGUCAAACUUCUGACGAGGUUUUUCGUUGUCCCUUGACGCAUGUGAGAAUCAUUUUUAUUUGGUUGUGUCCAAGGCUUGUACCAAACCAAGGAUAUUUUAUAUAACAGGUGGUUGGUUCAGUACAACCUUGGACACAAACCAAACCUGGUUUUCACCUACGUCAAUGGACAAGGACAAGGUUCCCAUUUGCGUCGAAGGACCCAUCUGCGUCAAGGGACAAGGUUCCAAGGUUCCCAUUUGCGUCGAAGGACCCAUCUGCGUCAAGGGACAAGGUUCCAAGGUUCCCAUCUGCGCAAAGGGAGGACUCCGUCCUUCUCCCUUUGCACAGAUGGGAGUUCUGCCUGAGCUCAGGUCUUUUAUUAGUUUCUAACAAAUAUAAAUCUAAACAAUGAAUUAAGUAAUGUCUACCGGCAAUAGUAGUAAACCGGAUAAAAACA